rnacentral:misc_RNA from 1 species
GGAUUAGGAAAUUUCCAUCAUAAAGAAAGUGUCAACAUUUUUCUUUUCCAGAUUUCUUUCCAUUACAAUACUUUAAUAGCCGGAGCAAGAAACAGAAAACUAUCCAUCACAAGGCAAGCAGGCUCAUAGAAGACUACGACAAAAGCACUUUAAUUAGAUAAAGAGAAAGAAUUUACCAAGCUAAAUGGGCGUAAUAUUAAAAGGUGGUUGAUAAAUCCUUUUCAAAUUGAGUAGGGUAUAUUGUUGAGGUCCAACCACGUUCUUUUCCUACCCGUGUAUUUACUGGAUCAAAAUUUAGGAAAAAAAAAUCUUCCAACAUGCUGUGCAAACUGUCCUGUUAAAAGAAUGUGCUAUUACUACAGAACAGAACCCCCUUCUUUUCCUUUUUGCAUCUUCCCAAACAAGACUUGAACCUACCUAAAGCAAUCUUUUGUCCUUCACCUUGAGCCAUAUAGCAAUUACAGUUCACUAUGGGACUUUCUUCUACAGCCUUUGUAAUGGAAGUUGUAUCCUAGUUUGAAUUUUUGGGCUGCCUUUUCUCUGAACUUCUUUAGAGAGAUUCACGCCUAGUCUCUAUCUGUAGGAUAUCUUUUGUUCUCAUAAUGAAUUAAAA